rnacentral:rRNA from 1 species
GGAGCGGCCGAUGCCUGAUUAGCUAGUUGGUGGGGUAAAGGCCUACCAAGGCUACGAUCAGUAGUUGGUCUGAGAGGACGACCAGCCACACUGGGACUGAGACACGGCCCAGACUCCUACGGGAGGCAGCAGUGGGGAAUUUUGGACAAUGGGCGCAAGCCUGAUCCAGCAAUGCCGCGUGAGUGAAGAAGGCCUUCGGGUUGUAAAGCUCUUUCAGUCGAGAAGAAAAGGUUGUGACGAAUAAUCACAAUUCAUGACGGUAUCGACAGAAGAAGCACCGGCUAACUACGUGCCAGCAGCCGCGGUAAUACGUAGGGUGCGAGCGUUAAUCGGAAUUACUGGGCGUAAAGGGUGCGCAGGCGGCUUUGUAAGUCAGAUGUGAAAUCCCCGGGCUUAACCUGGGAAUU